CCUACGGGAGGCAGCAGUGGGGAAUUUUGGACAAUGGGCGAAAGCCUGAUCCAGCCAUGCCGCGUGAGUGAAGAAGGCCUUCGGGUUGUAAAGCUCUUUCAGGUGGAAAGAAAACUUCCGGGUGAAUACCCCGGGAGGCUGACGGUACCAUCAGAAGAAGCACCGGCUAACUACGUGCCAGCAGCCGCGGUAAU
rnacentral:rRNA from 1 species